rnacentral:misc_RNA from 1 species
GGAUGAAGAACGCAGCGAAAUGCGAUAAGUAAUGUGAAUUGCAGAAUUCAGUGAAUCAUCGAAUCUUUGAACGCACAUUGCGCCCCCUGGCAUUCCGGGGGGCAUGCCUGUCCGAGCGUCACGAAAACCCCAUCACACUCGUUGUGGUCGUGGCGGCAGUGGGUAGCCUCCAGAGCGGGGGCGGCCACGCCGCUGAAAGGAAUGGUGCGGAUGAGUCCCGAUUGCCCGAGCGUAGUACUUGACGGCCGUCGGCCGAUCGGACCCUCCAUCUCGCCCUGACGAUGGACCCCCGUCGUACCCUCAGUGGUGGACCUCGGAUCAGGUAGGGAUACCCGCUGAACUUAAGCAUAUCAAUAAGCGGAGGA